GGGGAUGUAGCUCCAUGGUAGAGCACUUGCCUAGCAUGUUUGUGGGCCUAGGUUCAAUCCCCUAGCACUGUCA
rnacentral:tRNA from 1 species